rnacentral:rRNA from 1 species
GAUGAACGCUGGCGGCGUGCCUAAUACAUGCAAGUCGAGCGAACCGACGAGAAGCUUUCUUCUCUGAUGUUAGCGGCGGAUGGGUGAGUAACACGUGGAUAACCUACCUAUAAGACUCGGUUAACUUCGGGAAAACGGCUGUAAUCCCGGACAAUUUUUUCAACCGCAUGGUUCAAAAGUGAAAGACGUUCUUGCUGUCACUUAUAGAUGGAUCCGCGCUGCAUUAGCUAGUUGGUAAGGUAACGGCUUACCAAGGCAACGAUGCAUAGCCGACCUGAGAGGGUGAUCGGCCACACUGGAACUGAGACACGGUCCAGACUCCUAAGGGAGGCAGCAGUAGGGAAUCUUACGCGAUGGGCGAAAGCCUGACGGAGCAAAGCCGCGUGAGUGCUGAAGGUCUUCGGAUCGUAAAACUCUGUUAUUAGGGAAGAACAUAUGUGUAAGUAACAGUGCACAUCUUGACGGUACCUAAUCAGAAAGCCACGGCUAACUACGUG